CGUGUAGGCGGCUUGACAAGUCAGAUGUGAAAUCCCUGGGCUUAACCCAGGAAGUGCAUUUGAAACUGUUUGGCUGGAGUAAGGGAGAGGAAAGUGGAAUUCCCGGUGUAGAGGUGAAAUUCGUAGAUAUCAGGAGGAACACCGGUGGCGAAGGCGACUUUCUGGCCCUAUACUGACGCUGAGACGCGAAAGCGUGGGUAGCAAACA
rnacentral:rRNA from 1 species